UUGCUACUCCCUCCGUCCAACAAAGGAUGUCUCAACUUUGACUAAAUUUGAAUGCAUCUAUACACUAAGUCAUGUCUAGAUACAUCCAAAUUUUGACAAACUUGAGACAUCUUUUGUUGGACGGAGGAAGUAGUAG
rnacentral:pre_miRNA from 1 species